rnacentral:lncRNA from 1 species
AAUCACGAUGAUAGAACAAAACGCGCCUAAAGCAAACUACUUUCUUUAUUUGUUACAAAUGCUCACGACACCAACAUCCAUCUCACUUAACUAAAGACAAAUGACACACCAGCAAAUUAAAUUAAGACACCUUUUCACCUACAUCUACUUUGCAUUGGCAGGUUAUAAAUCCAGAAUACAACAAUUCUAAAGAACAUUAGAACUGAGAAGCAAAAACAACAUUGAGAAAUUAAAAACACAAAGGCAAAAUGGAGUCUUGGUUUUGUUUUUUUUCGCCCUCUUGGCUUGCUUCUGUAUUUACUAACCCCCCUCUUCUUUACCAAAGAAAUUCCACUCUUCAAUGACUGCCACAGUAACCCAAAUGUACAAAAAUUCAGUCUAAAUUUCAAACUUUACUUUCCUUAUUUGUUAAUUUACCUAUUAAUCUAAUCAUCACUUCACAAUACAAAACAACAGAUAAUUCAUCAAAUUAUUUAGUAGAUUAAUUACAACAAAAUUAAAUGAAUUAAAAAUAUGGAAGGCAUUUAUGAAAGAUUGAGCAAGGAAGCAAACAAGACUCAUAAAUAGACAACAGCAAAUAAAAUAAAUUUCAUAUUGGCUUAAUGAGUAAAAAUGAACACUAACAAAAUAUCAAAUGGAACAUUCACGAAACCUAAACGAGAAUCAUAUAGAACUGGAAUGAAAUGGGAAGAUGAACCUUUAUAUUGAUUGACAAAUUUGGCUUGUUACAUCUGCACUCCAAAGGUGAACAAAGUGUAGGAGCCUGACCACCGACCGGAGCUCGGAACCUCGCCACAAACUCGAAUUUGACUCAAACCCACUGCCAUUGAUGCCAACGUUGAAGCUAACAGAAUGGCUAUUUAUGGGGCUGUUUCCACUGUUUUCCAGCUGAGUUUUUGUGGAGUUCAUGGC